GAGUUUGAUCGUGGCUCAGAUUGAACGCUGGCGGCAGGCCUAACACAUGCAAGUCGAGCGGAUGACGGGAGCUUGCUCCUUAAUUCAGCGGCGGACGGGUGAGUAAUGCCUAGGAAUCUGCCUGGUAGUGGGGGACAACGUUUCGAAAGGAACGCUAAUACCGCAUACGUCCUACGGGAGAAAGCAGGGGACCUUCGGGCCUUGCGCUAUCAGAUGAGCCUAGGUCGGAUUAGCUAGUUGGUGGGGUAAUGGCUCACCAAGGCGACGAUCCGUAACUGGUCUGAGAGGAUGAUCAGUCACACUGGAACUGAGACACGGUCCAGACUCCUACGGGAGGCAGCAGUGGGGAAUAUUGGACAAAUGGGCGAAUGCCUGAUCCAGCCAUGCCGCGUGUGUGAAGAAGGUCUUCGGAUUGUAAAGCACUUUAAGUUGGGAGGAAGGGCAGUAAGUUAAUACCUUGCUGUUUUGACGUUACCGACAGAAUAAGCACCGGCUAACUCUGUG
rnacentral:rRNA from 1 species